GAGUAGUGAAUCUCUGCAAUCUAAUAAUGCUCUCAGUGUUCUUUUCAAGCUUUUAAACUAAUUCAUGAUUGAUCACUAAUUAUCGGAGAGGGAGCCUCUCGAGACAGCACUUUCCAGCGCCGAACGUUUGUUCCUGUCUUAAAACAGUUUGAAAGGAGUUAUAACUUCCAAAUGGUUGACUCUGCUCCCUGGUGGAGUGUCAAUAGGCCGCCGUGAGACGUUUGAGUGAACAAUUGAUGUUCUUUGCCAAUAUGCAAUAUUGCCUCUCGACAGAAUAAAACACCUGGAACUGGCUGUCUGGUUUUGAUGGGACUGUAGUCGGCAAUCAGCAGUGUUACUGCUCUUAUUGAACUUCUUAUUGGGUGUUUGUAUAGUGCUCCCCACACGCACUUUAGCAGCCAGACGUCAGUUGACAAAUCCACAUUCUGUAAUUGCGUGACCAUUGAUUUCAGUUCCAGUCAAAAAGAGAGAAAAAAGGGAAGUGCCCUCUUAAAGACAAGACAUAUAUUAGUGUAAUGCCGAUGGCAAAGGCGUAUAUGUGGAGUGAAAGGAGCACACACGCACACACACAGAGUGUGUGAAGACACUGAGCCCCUGGCUCUCUCUUUAUGAGUCAACAGCAUCUCACCGGGAAAUAGAGAGGUUUGCUAAUCUUUCAAGGAGAAGUUCUAUUUCAAAUUAUGGACAGAUCAUACAGUCCUAACCAUCCUAGCCAGGACAUUUCGGAACAAAUGACCUGCACCGUAGCUGCUGCUGUUUGCAUGAGAUGAAACACCGAUAACCACAUGCUAUUCAGCAUCAAUGGGACGCAUUGCAGAAUCAGUUUGUUGCCACCUGGGGGUCCCUGGACCCCAUUCUGAAAACCCCUGUUCUAAGUAACGAUACUCCAAUGUUUUAAAUGAGUAGACUCCAUUUGAGAGCAUGCUCACUGAGACACGCUCGGCUCCCACCAAAUCCAGCCCCCAAAUUUGAACUGGAGGGAGGGGAAAUUACGGCACUGACUCUUGUGUUGUACUCCUCUGUGUCUGUUUGGCUUCCACCCUGCAUGGUUCCCUCUGCACCUAUGGCUCUAUGGCUGAAAAGGUGAACUCGGAUUACACUGGAAAAGAUGGACGACAUUGACAGGACGCCAUGUGAGAUGAAGGGGAAACAGCGGACAGUCCAUGAAAUCAUUCUCCCACCCAGCUGUUGACAGCUGUGCUGAUGGGCAGCUCCCUUCUCCAGCAGGAGAUGUAGAGAUGAGCUGUGUUUUUCGACAUAUUAAACCACUGUUUGUUUUGUGAUGAAACUUCACCAGACAAAGCACUAACUCCCAUUCUUUGAUAUUGGGAAUUCACAGCUGGGAAGUGCUGCUUGACAGCAAACAGCAGUAUGAAAAUCCCAUAACCCACUAAUAUGGCUUCUUUUCAUUGCACCCUUUCGCACUUCGUUUUUAAGUAACUGUUACACAAUACUGCAUAUGAAAAGCAUGUUUGCACUCUAAAUCAUUGACUCUUAGGUACUUGUUCUAGCACUUAGAUAAUUACACACAUUUAUCGCCUUAACUUUGAGUGUUAUUUUAUGGGCACAAACACUCUUGGUUAGUGGUCAGUUAUAAUGUUUGCUUUGAAUAAAACCAAAUAUCUAUUUCAAGAAAACCAUGGGCAUGUUUCCAAUGAAAAGCACAAUUUCAUAACUUUCCCCAUCACAAUUAUAUAAAUUGA